UUUUUUCUAAAUAUAUAUAAAUAUAUAUGUUAUAGAAAUAUGGCUCUCUCCUUCCCUUGAAAACAUCUCUCUUGGAUCACAAGUCUAUAGGCCACGCUUGGCUCGAGAGUCCCUGAGGCUCCAUUUGACACGGGGCAGUUAUUCAGCAGAGGAGGAGAGCACUCACUGCUGCGGUGAGAAACGCAGAGGGGCAGCUUUGAUUUCUCAGCGGAGUUCUGCCUGACAGAUCCCAAAUCCAGGGUCUCUCUGGUACUGGUGGCACCGCCAGGCUGUAACGCGGGGGGCCAGAGAGGGACUUAGACGCACCGACUGUAAUUACAGAGCUGCCAAGGCCUCCAGGACAAAUAGCACGCAUCAGGAUGCAUUAAUCUUUGCUGGAUCUCCCGUGACUUCCGUGCAAUUUCAGAGGGACCAGAAGGAAUCACUCUGUGUAGGCAAUCCGGAUUGCAACGCCACCGUUCGCUUACAGAAGAUUUCACCCGCUACCCCUCUCCCUUCAAACACGGGCUCUUCCUACCUUAACACAAGAUGAACUUUCUUCCCAAGGAGUAAUUAGCUCCUGUAGCUUCAUUGCGCCCUGAAAUCAUUGCUUCUGGUGAGAAGAGCAGCAGUAAUGAAGUACUACUUAACAUUCGCACGGGGCUUUUCAUCAGUCACACUCCAGGCAUUUCAAAAGGAAGGCGUCCUUUUGCAGCUGGGGAGACUGUGCAGCCCUUAAGAAGUCACUACGAGGUGGCAGGCCGGGUGAACUGCCCCCCAAGCCUGGCGGCCCCUCCUGGGCCACACCGUGCCCCCUCACUGCGGUUGUCAUGGCAGCCCGAAUGCCACCGCUAGGAGAUAACAAUCGCAAUUUACACAUCAUAGAUGUUGCUUAGCCACCCACGGGCGAGGCCCUCAAAGGCUGAAAGUUCAGGCAGAAGCCACCAGGCAAAAGAUCUCUCCACGUGCAUGGCCACAGGCAGGAGUCCAGGCUCCAGCAGGGUUUUCAGAAGCUUUAACAUGAGGAAACUUCAAGUAAUGAAGGAGCCCCCCGGCCUGCAAGUGAGGAGAGGCUGAUGAAGAUGCAAAGCCUGCCUUCCCAUGACCAGAUCCCAUCGCAUCCCUAUGACAUCCCCUGCAGCAAAGAUAAACUCUGCUGUGUGUAGCGGAAUUCCAAGAGUUUGGAUGAGAAAGCGGGAUCUCUGUCACUCAAAGCAAGCAAGACUGGCUUCCUUGAGAGACUUGGCACCAUGUGGAUGCAAUCUAGGCUUAACAGAGCUGCUACAGGUAACAGCGUGGGGAAAUUCCAGAUCACAGCUCUGCAGAGGUCACUGAGAGGUUUCAGCUCACGACUCCUAGAAAGAAAUCAGAGAAAAGGAAAUAUGGGAGUCCUGCCUAAGCUCAGAAACAGUUUGAAGCACAGCCUUACAGAUCCACGGUAAAGCCCAUUAUAGCAUGGCACUGGGGUUGGUUUCUCAGGUUCCUUUCCUUUUCUAUUGAAAUUAUGGCCACUUUUCUUAUUCUAUCUAUUUCUAUUGUACAAUUUCCCAUCACCAAGUUCCACAGUUAUCUGCCGUUCGUCUGGGCAUCUGUCAUCUAAAUCUACACCUUCUCUGCCCCUGUCUUCACCAGCCUGACAGCUGAAGCUGCAGAUGGCCUCUUUUUCCUCCCUUCCCCUACAAGACUAUUUUCAGACAACGCCCCUGCAAAACGUAAAGGAGAAAGCUGCCGAAUAAGAGGCUGAUGUACUGCUUCAUUUCCUGAAAUACUUGUGGCCACAGAAACAAACCAAGCUGCUCAGGCAAGAGGGCAGAAGAAAGGCUGAUGUAAUAUUAUAUGACAUGUACCUGUUAGUAUAACACAGAUGCCAUGAGAUGCACAUUAGUGCUUAUUCUAGAUCAUAGCAUACACUGAUGUUGGACUGCAAAGUCUCUGCAGGUUACUUAGGAUCUGGAAAUGUUGUAAGGUUCAUUAAUCCUCGGCAUCUCCAUUGUAAUCUAUAUUAUGCUGAUUACAUCCCUAGUCUGGAUCUUCUCUAUGGGGUUGGGAAAAAUAAGUUUUCAUUUGGAAAGGUGUAUGACAACUGCAUAACACCAUCCAGGAUCUGUCUGUGAAGGUCAGAAUUCCCAAAUCUGACAAACUCUGUUUGGCAAUGGAAAAACACCUGUGAAGCAGCAAAAAAAAAAAGAUGUCUAAGCCAGUUCAUGAUGUAGCUUACAACAGCCCUUUCUCUUUUUAAAUUGAAGGUAAGCUCAAUUGGUACCGAAGCAAGCUCCAGCACAAUGCAAUUUCUAGAUCUACUUCUCUGACAGUAACCUGAUAAAGGAUGUACUUAUUGCUAGGAGUAGGAAACCAGCGUUCUGGGAGCAGGAGAGGAUUCAAAGAUUAAACAAACUAGAACUGUGCCUGCACUGCUCUGAAACUGAUCUUGAGACCAAAGGGUUUGCACCACAUUUGCAUCCUUUCCCUGUGUCUGCCUUUUAGAAAGCCAGCUGUAUCCCUGCAUUAACAUGCUUGUUCACCCAAUGACUCACCAAGUGUGUUCAGGCAAACAAAGUCCCGAGGACUCAAGAACAUGUGCCUGGGCCACACCUGAGCUUGCAUUUAUAAGCUUAUAGUCUGCACCAUAGCGAAGCUUGACCUUGUGGUAGCUUCAGUCUAUCUAAACAGUACCUAGAGUGUUGCAUAAAUUUAGUAGCUAACUAUGCACAUCUCUGCUUUGACCUUCUUUUGACUGUGACCACUGACAGCUUCACGGCAACCACAGAGACCUCCUACAUUCAGCAGGAAAUCUAUUCUGACUGACUGAGUUAAAGGAUAGACCUUUUAGUUUUCUGUACUCUGUGGGCGGAAGAAGUACAAGCAAGCCGCUUUCCAAAUAACCCCAAAAUUUGCCAUAUUCUGCAAGCUGAGAACCACACACAAGUGGAUUUGGAGUCAUUGUUCUUCUUCGCAUUUGCCCUAAGCUCCAAUGGGACUGCAAAGCAGCAGUCUCAGUUUUACAAGAUACUUGCGAGACGUAGCAUCUCUGCAACAUAUAUUGAAACAAGACAUACCGCACUGAGAAGGAAAAGUCGUGCACAUCAGAUGUUUGUUCAUAUAUUUGCCUACUCUUUAAUCACUAAGAGCGUCCCAGUGUAUUUCCAGACCACUAUCAUCAGUGUGUGCUUAUUUUUUUCCUUUUAACCAGUGAAAAAAUAAAGUUUGAUCCAAACUUCCAUAAUAACCUUAGUAUAAAAGCUUGAUGCUUGUAGCAAAGGACUUGAGAUCUACUUUCUGAAGAUUCUAGAAUCUCUCGGGAUUUCCACAUAAGAUGUAAUACUGUAUUGAACACUUGAGCCCAGCAGCACUGUAGUAAAACAAAGUUUUUCAAGCCAGUGGAAGCUGCAGAUGUCACUGGAUUACCCUUCCUCACUAAGAUGCCAGCAACUGAGGUUACCUACAAUUGGAACACCUGCUAGUCUGACCAGCUCAUGAGAUUUGUUGGCUUUGCUAUCGGUGGGAAAACUGGAGCACAAACAAGCUGUUCUUUUGGCCACAACGUGUUUCUGUUGCUAGAGGACUCUGCCUGGAGAAUAAAUAAAUCCACUCUGGGAAAAGCGCAUCUUAAGGAUCUAUUCCAAGUGUCCUGUGCUGACAUGGAGGUAGGGAAUCUGAAGGAAAUCCCCAUGAUUAAAAAUAAAUAACUAAAGGCAGCUUUAUGGAGGUUUGUAAACCUCUGUAAGACCUGGUGUUUUCUAAGAAGAUCUAUAAACUGAGAACUAAAAAAGAAGAAGGAAUCAGAGAGGAGAAUAUAAUUGUCUAACACGCGUCUUUAAUGAACUAAAACAUAUCCUCCUCACAAAGGGCUCAUAAGGGAAAAAAUGGGAUCUCCCGUAUACACCUUCAAUCUUGCACUGAAUUAUCUGUGGCAAUUGGACCCACAGCUUCGACUGAGAGGGUCUUAUAAUGAGGAAAAGAAAUUGUAAAACCACUGUAUGCAAAAGCACCCAAUUAAUUCAAGAGCAUCAUUGUUAUUUCAUUUAUAUGGCACCGUAGGGGUAUGCGAUGCUUUACAGACGAUUAGGGGCUAUAAAAGUUUAGAGAAAAGAUGAAGCAGAAUGCAAGGAGCUGGCAACAAACUGGAGUACAAGCGCUGACUAAAAGCUCUCACCAUGGCGUUUAUGGUUUGUUUGUUCAUGUGGUUGUGGUUUGUUGUUGUUGCUGUGUUUUUUGGUUGUUUUUUCUUGUUUUGUUUUAAGGUUCAAGGAGUGUUUUUUUGGCAGCAAGCCCCUUUUACAGGGAGGCAGAGACCAUUUAACAAGAUUGUUGGUCUAUUGCCAAGGAUUCAACGUUGGAAAGCUACUCACUAAAACAGGUCUGAAGAAACCGAAUAAAAACACCCACAACAAGGAGGAGGUAGACAGAUUUGAGAUAAACUGUAAGUAAUUUCCCUAGAAUUUGAUGCUCCAGUAAACUAGAUCAGCAAAUAGAGACUGCAUAUACCCAGAAUGGACUGGUUGAGGCUCCAACUAGGUGGGUGCUGUAUUCCUAGGUUGAGAAAUACAUGUAUAAGACAUGGCCUGUUAGCUUAUGUUCUGUAUCCACAGCUCCAGGAUACUCCUAGAUUCUCAUCAGGCUUUCAACUGGCAGUAGAACAGCAGUGACCAGGCAGCAUCUCUCUACUAGCUACAAAGAGUACAACUCAAGCUUCCAGAUAGGGAUUUGUUAAUGAGUUCUGGACAGGCUUUUUGGAACAGCUGGACCUUAAAUCUACCCAGAAGCUAUACAGUAAGAACAUAGCAGCUUUCUCGAGUAACACCUACUUUUCUCAUAGCAGCAUAUGACACCUGUGCUCCAUAAAUGGCUGCAAGCCAGGAAUUUAAGGGUUUUUCUCUAUCACUUCUGAUCUCAGAGUAGGUAAUUCUGUUAAGUUUUUGUUUUGCAGUUAGACAACCCACAGGAAAGGUCUUUGACAAAUCUGUUAUUUAUUAUUUCCUCACCCUGAUGUUCUCCCACUUACCUCUUUAAUCAGAAUGGUCUCUGAAACUUUAAACAAAGUAAAUAUCAAGAAGGACGGGAAAGCUAGAAUUCCUUUUUCUUUUCUUUUUUUGUUAAGUAAAAAAUUAUACAUCGAUAAAAGUUUCUGUUGAAAAUUACACCAUUUCUUAAUAGGGUAGAGAGGGGAAAGCAGGUCCUCCCCAGUGCCUCAAGCAAUUUUGUCUUUUCAAGCUUAAGAAUUCUAUGCUCAACUCUUUCUUUUUCAGCAGCUCAGGAGCAAUUCCUGAAACAAAUCUUGCAAUACUUCUCCCCAGAAAACAUUGUGCUUUUUUAUCGUCCUUCUCUAACAGCUUCCACCAGCAACAACGUGACACCUAAUGCUUUGGGACUGGUAUUAGCACACUGUGCAAGAUGGCCUCUGGACUGCAGUUUGCUGAGCUAAAAAAAAAAAUAAUUCUACUAGCAUUUCUGACCUUCAGGCAAUUAGCUUCUCAAGCAGUUAUAUUUAUGGAAAAUUGUGCAUGGAUCAUCUCUAUCUUUCCAUUGAGAUGCUAAUGCCUGCUUAAACAUAUCUUAUACUAGGAUAGUUUAUUCCUCGUUCCUGUACAAUAUAAAGCACCUUUCUACUGAUUUUGCUGUGUCUAGGCUAAGGAAAGUUACACUGCAGUAACUACUGCAAUAUAUGUUGUAGGACAGAUUGAAAGAUUUCUGGUUGAAGCUGCUGGUAAAGCCAUUAAUUUUGUGGGGGAAGGAGGAGGAAUUGAGAAAAUGCUCCAUUUUUUGCUUAGAACAGUGUUCUGUGUGUUUGUGUGCAUGUGUUAUUCAAAUAAUAAAAAAGCACCAACAGCAAACACAUUGCCUAACCUA